rnacentral:rRNA from 1 species
UACGUAGGUGGCAAGCGUUGUCCGGAUUUAUUGGGUUUAAAGGGUGCGUAGGCGGCCUUGUAAGUCAGUGCUGAAAUAUCCCGGCUUAACCGGGAGGGUGGCAUUGAUACUGCAGGGCUUGAGUAAAGUUGAGGUUGGCGGAAUUGACGGUGUAGCGGUGAAAUGCUUAGAUAUCGUCAAGAACACCGAUAGUGAAGACAGCUAACUAAGCUUCAACUGACGCUGAGGCACGAAAGUGUGGGGAUCAAACAGG